UAGCACACUUCGUCAUUCCUUUUGCUCACGAACACUUGAUAACAACCGAACUAACAUUACCAGUACUCUGCAUUUUGUGUUAAUUUCCAAAAUGCUUUCAACGAUUGUUGUUUUGAUCAUUUUGUUAGGCUGUGGCAAUAUUAAUUCGAUCAAGACAAGCGGAAUGCGGAUAACAAAUACCGCCGUAUCAGAGACAAUGCGCGUUCUUACCGGAAAAAUAGUGGACCAACAGGAAAAACUUGAGAUAAUGGAGCAGCGCUUACAAGCAUUGGAGAGAUCGGCUCAUAGUGAAUCCAAACAUAUUAAAAUCCGACAAGCGGAGGUUUCUAGUGUAGCGUUCACAGCGUGCGUUUCGGCACAGGACGUAAUCAAUAUCGGACAUGGUCAAACGAUUGUGUUCGACCAGGUGAAAACAAAUACCGGAAAUGCGUACAAACGGACGACGUGAAUUUUCACAGCUCCUUGGAACGGCGUCUACGGCUUUCAUCUGUCUGUCAUGGUCCUGGAAUCGAAUGCUUUGUAUCUCCAACUUGUCAAGAACGGCGAAUACUUUGACACGAUGGUUAUUUAUGGCAACGGACAUUUCACCACUGUAAGCGAGUUCUGGAGCAUUGAGCUUGCAAAAGGUGACGACGUUUGGAUCCGAACUGAUACGCAAUACGUUGAUGGGCACCUUGGUACACUUCACGGAUGGUGUAACACCCAGUUUUCAGGCUUCUUAAUCAACUAGUUAACGCUUCAGCGGUUAAGACAACUAGCGACUGAAAAUAUUAAUUGUCUGUACCAGCUAUACACACUGUACAACUUUUCUAAUUGUGUACUUUUAUUUUUGUAUUUUCUCAAACCUAAAUUGACGAUUUUUUGCAUGAAAUUUAAUAAAUGUAUUUAUUCGUA